AUUGAACGCUAGCGGGAUGCCUUACACAUGCAAGUCGAACGAGUGGCGAACGGGUGAGUAAUGUAUCGGAACGUGCCCAGUAGCGGGGGAUAACUACGGGAAACUGUAGCUAAUACCGCGUACCAUAGGAUGAGCCCAAGUGGGAUUAGGUAGUUGGUGAGGUAAAGGCUCACCAAGCCGACGAUCUCUAGCUGGUCUGAGAGGAUGACCAGCCACACUGGGACUGAGACACGGCCCAGACUCCUACGGGAGGCAGCAGUGGGGAAUAUUGCGCAAUGGGGGCAACCUGACGCAGCCAUGCCGCGUGAAUGAAGAAGGCCUUCGGGUUGUAAAGUUCUUUCGGUAGCGAGGCGUUAACUACAGAAGAAGCACCGGCUAACUCCGUGCCAGCAGCCGCGGUAAUUC
rnacentral:rRNA from 1 species